rnacentral:lncRNA from 1 species
GUACCGUCAGCGCCGCGCGUUCCUCAUGGCGUUAGGGCUGACGGGCCUUGUUGCUGAGGGGCCUUCAUUCAACGGUCUCUUGUUGAAUGAAAAGACCUCAUUCUCUUCACAUGCUUGGACGCCUGGGAAGCGCUUUUCUCCCAAUCCAGACCUUCCACCUUUCUCCCACUCUGUUGGCCCAGUGCAGAGUCUAGGAGAAAACUACGUCUGGGACUCGGGAACGAGUCCAGGGAGUUUAGAGCCUGCGAGAUGGGGCAGGGGUUUGGGCGGCGACUGAACGGAAGCCACGAGAAGGAUUCGGACUAAAAUGAGUAGUGCUGAACCAACGUGUGCCAAAGCGCAUAUAUUCAUUCAAUAGAUAAUGAACUCUACUGUCAGAGCGUCGCCAAGCGCUAGCCUUGAAAGCUAUCCCCUACUGAGGAUACAUGUAUUACGCAGCACAUACAAAUUGUCAGAUGGUUCAGUCCUUGAAAAAUAAAUACAAUAACGGGGUGUCACUGGGAGCUGCGACAGUGGGCAAGAUCAGGAAAGACCUGAUGCUAUUAUCAGGAGUAUUAAUUUGGAAAAUAGAGACAUUUCAGUUCUCUAAACGUUAAUGACUUAAGUUUUUAAUAAUUAUUUUCUGAAUUUUUUAUAUCAGCUUGCCUUGGUUUUCUUUAUAGCUUUACCACAUAAUGUAUGUAUCACUAUCUUGUUUCGUUCAAUUUUGAAGCUUUUGGAAUUGCGUAUGUAUUCUCCAGCAAUUUGCUUCUUUCAGCAUUGCUUUUCAUAUUCACCUACAGGUGGCUGUAGUGCUCUUCGCCCAGGCUGGAGUGCAGUGGCGCGAUCUCGGCUCACUGCAAACUCUGCCUCCCGGGUUCAAGUGAUUCUCCUGCCUCAGCCUCCUAAGUAACCGGGAUUACAGGCGCGCGCCACCACGCUCAGCUAAUU